ACGCCGAGUGUGAACAAAACAUGUUUGAAUCCGCUGAAUCCAUUUUGAACAAGAUUUUGCGUGGAGAGGCCAAUGACCGCCUUCCCGAAGCGUCCAGGCCUGAUUAUGAAAACCUCGUAAGGAAUUGUAACAGACGACGCCAACGCAAACGCCCCAACGAUCCCACCGACAUGGACUUUGAGUUCGACAUGGCGUUCAUCAACGAGAAGAUCUCAUCGUCUUUCUUCCGGGCCGAGAUCCGCAACGGCGAAAGACAUCUUAUAUUCGCCACUGACUAGCAACUGCUACUGUUGAAGAAAGCAAAGACAUGGUACAUUGACGGGACGUUUAAGGUCGUCAGACAACCGUUUUACCAGUUGCUUUUUAUUCAUUCGUUCGUAAGGUGCGGUGACGACAUGAUGCAGCUUCCGUUGCUUUUUGCGGUGAUGGCCGGAAAAACAAGUGAAGACUACACACAGUACUGUUCCAGGUUUUCAACGGCGUCAUGGACAUCAUCCAUAAAGAAACUAGAAUGAAGAAAUUCAUUGUUGAUUUUAAGGAUGUGGCAGGGCAUCCGGGAAGUUUUCGUCAAUCCAGCAAUUAAAGGAUGCGCCUUUCACUGGAACCAGGCCGUAUGGCGUCACGUGCAAAGCUUAGGGCGCCUACACUCAACGCGACACUGUAUUCACCUUUAUACGCACGGUCAUGUCUAUACCGUUCCUGCCAGCGAUACAUAUGGAGCCAGCGAUUAUGAGACAGAAAGAUAAAAAAAAAACACACGGAAGAACGGCUGGCCAACCUUCUAGAGUAUGUGGACAAGGCAUGGAUUCAAUCUUCGGUGUGGGGACCAAUAAAUUGGUGCGUGUUUUGUCGGAGUGUCAGGACAAAUAAUGACUGUAAAGGUUGGCACUUGAAACUUAACCAGCACGCCAAUAAAGCCAAUCUGCCCUUUUACCUACUGUUGACCCUUCUUUAUGACACGUCUCUCUACGGAAAGAUCUUCAAGCUGUGGGAAGCCUACGAGAGAGGAGAGUUGUCAGUAAAAUGUCUACUGAGGAAGUGCAGUGGCAUUUACGGACAAAAUGCCAGAAAGUUGCUAGAUUGUAUUGUAAUGAAUGAUUGCUCAUUUGAUGUUUUCUGAUUAUUAUAAAUGUUUCAACCAUUGUGUUUAAAAGCUUGUUUGUGUGUGAAAGUUUGUGUUUCUAAAUAACGAGUAGUUUUUACUGCCAUUUACUUUUUAAUAUAAUAUUGUUUCUUUAAAUUUGCCAGUUAUUUCUUCCAACAACAAGCAGCUAAUAUGGUGAUAGUACAUACUGUAUGUGAGCAGGCAAGUUGUGAAGUUGUGUAAUGAAUGAUUGCUCAUUUGAUUUUCCUCUUAUUAUUAGAAAUGUUUCAACCAUUGUGUUUAAAAGCUUGUUUGUGUGUGAACGUUUGAGUUAAAUUAUUACAGAUGUUUGAAAUGUUUGAAAAUGUUCAUCAUGGCUCAUUACAACCUGUGUGUUGUUAAUGUUUUAAAAUUAGUAUAGAUGUUGGAAAUGUUUGAUAAUAUUUUGUUAUUUAUUUCAUUUAAUAUGCCGUAAUUGAUGCUUUGUAUGUUUUCAAUAAAAAAUAUUUGU